CUUUUAAUCGAUGUUCGGAGGUCGUCGCUUUUUAAAAGUUUUUUGUGUGGUGUACAUUCAGAAAAUCAAGAUGUAUGAAUAUGACGAUAAAGUGAAGUAGCGCCAUGUUGCGGGCGGAGAUGGGAGAGGAUAUGUUGUCCUCGAUUAAGUUCCUGCAGGUGUUUGGAUUAAUAGCGGAAAUUGUGAAGUGUGGCGUUUUGCCGAGGGGAUAUGCGGUUGGUGAAAGUUCCGGCGUCUCGGACCACGGACGUGUACAUGUGUCGGUGUCAGAAGGACAAUGUUUGGAGCUCCAUUAGACGCGGUACCUGGUUCAAGAAAUCCAGGCCGGCUGUAUGUCACAUGGAGCACUUAACUAAACAAACUUCGUUCUCAGCUAGAGUUUGAUGCAAGCUAUCGAACUGUUCACCAUUCCACCGCCUUACAGAACCACCCACUGUAACUGUUUUGAAGCCAUAGUUGCUUGCACCAUUCUCCCAGAGGUGGACUUGGGGAUGUAUUUGGGGGAGGAGUGAAACAGUCUGUCAGAACUAGUCAUACAGCAUUCAUAUUUGUGCAAUGAAUGAUGGACAGUGAACAUGAAAAACAGUGAUUGGAACUGUCGCAUUCCAACCAAACCUCAGCCUCGGGCUUCGCCACAGAAUUUUGCAGAUGGAACCAAGGGUAGACAGUGGCCUCUGAGCUGUUUCUUUACUUACUUCUGUGCCUUUGUUGAAUUACAGUAUCAUGGUGAAAGUUCGUCAUGCAAUUUUGAUGCGAAAUGGAACCUGAAAAUCUGAAAAAAUGUGGAUGCUACUGGAUAAAGCUCAAUGUGUGUGACCUGGUAGAUACAGACGGUACCUGAUACUCAAAUGCAAUGAUACUUUCGGACUUGGAAUACAUCAUUUAUGGAAACAGUACUCAAGAGACAUUUACAGUGGGGUGUGCAGUUGAGAACAGUUCUCCAUCUACCUCUCAGUGCUCACCAGAAUUAUCCAAAGCGGGGCACUAUGCCAAUUCCAAGAAGCAGGCCAAAGAUAUCCUGGUAAGCAGCACAUUGUCAAUGCUGCGGGGCAAACAAACAGCAAUGAGGAUGACAAGUUGGGCCAGUAUGUUGCAGCUGAGCUGAUUACAACUAAAAAUAGAAAAUUGAAGGCAGAGAGACAGUGCCUUAUCACGAAUGCCAUCAUGGGUGCAAUUCAGAAAGUUACUGAUUGUUAAUUUUUAAAUAAAAGAUUGAA